UACAGAGGUCUCAAGCGUUGUUCGGAUUCAUUGGGCGUAAAGGGUGCGUAGGCGGCGCAGUAAGUCGGGUGUGAAAUCUCGGAGCUUAACUCCGAAACUGCAUUCGAUACUGCCGUGCUUAAGGACUGGAGAGGAGACUGGAAUUUACGGUGUAGCGGUGAAAUGCGUAGAUAUCGUAAGGAAGACCAGUGGCGAAGGCGGGUCUCUGGACAGUUCCUGACGCUGAGGCACGAAGGCCAGGGGAGCAAACGGGG
rnacentral:rRNA from 1 species